GCCACUGUGGCUCAGAGGCAGAGCACUGGUCUCGUAAACCAGGGGUCGAGAGUUCGAACCUCUCCAGUGGCU